CGAGCAACCUUUUUGGGAAAACUAAAAUCAAUUUCACUUCUAUCUGUUUUGGGGUAUUCUCCUCUUGUAAUACCUCUUUGUUUCUCAUGGUUCCUAUGUUAUAAUGAGCAUAUGGCUUAUCGAAUUGUUCAAUUUCUACUCAAAAUGAGGGUUUGUAGUAGUAAUUUUGGAUUACUUCAAUUUCUUUAAAUUCUGCACUCUCUCAUGUAGAACAUAUUUUACCUCUUUCUGCAUUUUUGGGGUUUCUUAUUAUUAUUUCUAUUAUCUUGAUCUGGGAUUAAUCUCUUGCUUUUGGACUCAUGUUUAGUAUUAAUAUAUGGGUCUUGGUUAUGCUUGGUUGAUUUUCAUUCAAAACCCCAUGAAGCAUGCCCAUUUGGUAAUUGUGAUUCAAGAAUAUAUUGCAUAUGUUGUCCUGGAAGUCGGAAGCUGUCUUAUUAACUUUCCCUAGUGGCAACGCCGAUCAUGUGGAUGGGUUAAGACCUAAGAAAAUAGUACUGGGUUGAGUAUGUUUUAGUUGGAAGCCUUUGGCAGGUUCUGCACUUGACACCAUGGCUGUUCUAACUAACCUAUCCUUCUCUUUGAAGUCAUUCUGAUCCAUUUAUGUUACUUUGCUUUAUUUAACUUAGUCAUGAGAACAUAUCAAAGAAAGUAAGCUCCUUUUUCUCUACCAAGAUUCUACCCUAAACUCAAAAUUCACUUUUUCAAUUUGUACAUGCACCAAAUGUAUAAUACUAAUCAGAUUCUAUGUGUUCUCUCUUCUCUUUUGACCUGUUGCAUGUUAUGUUGGAGAAGUGGGUUCCAAAGCUUAGACAUUAUGCCUCAUCAGUGCCCAUUAUUCUCGUGGGAACUAAACUAGAUAAGUGAUACAAAAAGAAUGGGUUUGUAUGAGCAAUUAGGAGUGGCUAAGUGACAGAUUUUGUUUAAGCAAGAAAGUGGAUUCUAAGCUCUUAUUGAAAAUCCUUGAAUGUUCAGUUUCAUGUUGAGAAACAAAAGGUUUCAUGGCAUGGAAAGACAACAGCACUAAGGAUGAAGGCAGUGCAAAUGAAAAGAGGUGAAAAAAUAGUGUCGAAACCAGCUGUUGAAGAGACUGAUGCACCACCUAAAUCUGCCUUCACCAAAUAUGAUCAAUAGUAUGAAAUAUCAGUGUUUUUUGAGUUCCAUUUGUUGAUCAUGCCAACUGCUAUGGGUUAUUAAACUGAUGUUUACUAAGCUUAGCUUCAUUAUGGAUGUAUAUAUAGCUGCAGUAACAGAUUAAUCAAAUAUUGGUAUUUUUGUGAAUGGAUUCCAUAUUUGAUGAAUGCAUUGGGUAGUUUCCA